GAUGAAGAACGCAGCAAAAUGCGAUAAGUAAUGUGAAUUGCAGAAUUCAGUGAAUCAUCGAAUCUUUGAACGCACAUUACGCCCGCCAGUAUUCUGGCGGGCAUGCCUGUUCGAGCGUCAUUUCAACCCUCAAGCACAGCUUGGUGUUGGGACUCGCGUUAAUUCGCGUUCCCCAAAUUGAUUGGCGGUCACGUCGAGCUACCAUAGCGUAGUAGUAAAACCCUCGUUACUGGUAAUCGUCGCGGCCACGCCGUUAAACCCCAACUUCUGAAUGUUGACCUCGGAUCAGGUAGGAAUACCCGCUGAACUUAAGCAUAUCAAUAAGCGGAGGA
rnacentral:misc_RNA from 1 species